rnacentral:sRNA from 1 species
CGAUAGUCCCGAAGUGUCGGGAGAAAAUCCUUUUACUUUUUCCUUAAAAAGUAAAAGAUUGAAACGGAUUGCUUCGCCAGUU